rnacentral:tRNA from 1 species
GGGAUAUUAGCUCAGUUGGUUCAGAGCGCUUGCUUCACAGGUAAGAAGUCACCGGUUCGAAUCCAGUAUAUCCCAC